CGCUCGACAUCAGAGUUUGAUCCUGGCUCAGGAUGAACGCUGGCGGCGUGCUUAACACAUGCAAGUCGAACGGACUUUUAUUGAAGCCUAGCGAUAUAAAAGUUAGUGGCGGACGGGUGAGUAACGCGUGAAUAACCUGCCUUAUACUGGGGGACAACAGUUGGAAACGACUGCUAAUACCGCAUAAGCGCACGGGACCGCAUGGUCUAGUGUGAAAAACUCCGGUGGUAUAAGAUGGAUUCGCGUCUGAUUAGCUAGUUGGUGAGGUAACGGCUCACCAAGGCGACGAUCAGUAGCCGGCCUGAGAGGGUGAACGGCCACAUUGGGACUGAGACACGGCCCAA
rnacentral:rRNA from 1 species